GGGUGGGGAGGCUGGGCCUGUUCAGGGAAAGAACAUGGGGAGGAACCAUGGCAAAAUUACCUGAGAGAUUCUAGAUGAAUUCUGAGGAAAAGCGCAAGUCCUCAGCAAUGGGGCAGGUCUGGGUGAAUCUUUAGAGCGCUAAGAUCCAGGUGACCUUGGUUCCACAGCCCUGUCAGUCCUGGCCCUUUGUCCCCAGCAUUCCAGAUACCCUGGGCUCUGGCCUCUUAGCAUUUACAUUGUGGUGUUGUCAUACUAAGGAGCCUUUUUUCAGGAGGAAACCUCCUCCUGAGAGGAGUCAGAGAGGUCUGGGACCAGCAAGUGUCCCUUAGCCUCCUGUCCUGCCCCGACAUCUGGAACCUCUAGCACUGUUCUCCUCAUCCUCUUCCCAACCCAAGACUUCUGGAUAUCUUCGAAGUCCCUUCAUGGCCACUGUGGGGCACAGCUGUCCCCGGCUAGAUGGUCUUCCCAGCAGAUGUUUUCUCUAAGGCUGAACAGUCAACAUCCGUGAGUAACAAGGGUAAGUAAGCUCCUUCAAGGACACAGCUCACGGCCAUCCCCGUACCUGCACACAAAGGCACACACAAGCAUGUGCUCAUACCCGUGAACAUACACACACACACAAG
rnacentral:lncRNA from 1 species